rnacentral:rRNA from 1 species
GACGAACGCUGGCGGCGUGCCUAACACAUGCAAGUUGAGCGACGAACCAGGGCUUGCCCUGGGGCAAAGCAGCGAACGGGUGAGUAACACGUGGGUAACCUACCCCGAUAACCGGUACAACCCGUGAAAACUCGGGCUAAUACCUGAUGUGCUCACUGGCCUUCGGGUCAGUGCGUAAAGUAAGCUUCGGCCUCCGUAUCGGGAGGGGCCCGCGGCGGAUUGGUUUGUUGGUGGGGUAACGGCUAACCAAGACCGCGAUGGGUAGCUGGUCUGAGAGGAUGAUCAGCCACACUGGGACUGAGACACGGACCAGACUCAUACGGGAGGCAGCAGUGGGGAAUCUUGAGCAAUGGGCGAAAGCGUGACGCAGCAACGCCGCGUGGGGGAAGAAGGCCUUCGGGUUGUAAACCCCUUUCGGGAGGGACGAAGGUUGGGCGGUGAAUAGCCGGCCGGGCUGACGGUACCUAAAGAAGAAGCCCCGGCUAACUACGUG